rnacentral:rRNA from 1 species
CAGCCGCCGCGGUAAUACGGAGGGUGCAAGCGUUAAUCGGAAUUACUGGGCGUAAAGCGCACGCAGGCGGUCUGACAAGUCAGAUGUGAAAUCCCCGGGCUUAACCUGGGAACUGCAUUUGAAACUGUCAGGCUGGAGUCUUGUAGAGGGGGGUAGAAUUCCAGGUGUAGCGGUGAAAUGCGUAGAGAUCUGGAGGAAUACCGGUGGCGAAGGCGGCCCCCUGGACAAAGACUGACGCUCAGGUGCGAAAGCGUGGGGAGCAAACAGGAUUAGAUACCCGGUAGUCCCUGUCUCUUAUACA